rnacentral:piRNA from 1 species
UGUUCACAGCUGCAACCGCCUACUCAACC